UUUUUCAAUGUAGUCUUAUAGUUUAAUCAAAACUUCAAAUUGCAAUUUUGAAAAUGUAUAUAAAUUUCUAAGACUU
rnacentral:tRNA from 1 species